CGAAGAAAAACUUUGCAAUGUGCGAAAGCACGACAAGGUUAAUCCGAGUGGCUUCUGCUAAAGGAACCGUUUUGCCAGUCCUAGAAACACUGGUGAAUAAGGGGUGGGCAAGUUCUGGUGUCAGCCGCCGCGGUAAAACCAGCACCUCAAGUGGUCAGGAUGAUUAUUGGGCCUAAAGCAUCCGUAGCCUGCUCUGUAAGUUUCCGGUUAAAUCCAUUCGCUCAACUGAUGGGCUGCCGGAAAAACUGCAAAGCUAGGGAGUGGGAGAGGUAGACGGUACUCGGGUAGGAAGGGGUAAAAUCCUUUGAUCUAUUGAUGACCACUGUGGCGAAGCGGUCUACCAGAACACGUUCGACGGUGAGGGAUGAAAGCUGGGGGA
rnacentral:rRNA from 2 species